AAACCAACAGGGAUUGCCUUAGUAGCGGCGAGUGAACCGGCAAAAGCUCAGAUUUGAAAGCCUUUUUGGCAUUGUAUUCUGAAGCCUUGGUCCUGGGACCUGGUGCUUAAGUCUUCUGGAAAGGAGCGCCAUGGAGGGUGAUAGCCCCGUGAAGCACUAACCCCAUUGUAGGAUCUUGGCAUGGAGUCGAGUUGUUUGGGAAUGCAGCUCAAAUGGGUGGUAUGCUCCAUCUAAAGCUAAAUAUCUGCGAGAGACCGAUAGCGAACAAGUACUGUGAAGGAAAGAUGAAAAGAACUUUGAAAAGAGAGUGAAAUAGUACGUGAAAUUGUUGAAAUGGAAGGAUAGGCCGCUAACCACGCAGAGUCGUGUUUAGGGGGAGGACAAAAGCUGUAUACUGCAUCAUUCUUCGGAGUGGUGUCGUUGCGGUGCAUACUCCCACCUGGGCGCGAGGAUCUAAGACUCUGCUAAAUGGUGGUCUAUCACCCGUCUUUGAA
rnacentral:rRNA from 1 species